rnacentral:rRNA from 1 species
CGUUAACACUCCUACGGGAGGCAGCAGUGGGGAAUAUUGCACAAUGGGCGCAAGCCUGAUGCAGCCAUGCCGCGUGUAUGAAGAAGGCCUUCGGGUUGUAAAGUACUUUCAGCAGUGAGGAAGGCGGAGUCGUUAAUAGCGGCCUCGUUUGACGUUAGCUGCAGAAGAAGCACCGGCUAACUCCGUGCCAGCAGCCGCGGUAAUACGGAGGGUGCGAGCGUUAAUCGGAAUUACUGGGCGUAAAGCGCAUGCAGGUGGUUUGUUAAGUCAGAUGUGAAAGCCCGGGGCUCAACCUCGGAAUUGCAUUUGAAACUGGCAGACUAGAGUACUGUAGAGGGGGUAGAAUUUCAGGUGUAGCGGUGAAAAUGCGUAGAGAUCUGAAGGAAUACCGGUGGCGAAGGCGGCCCCCUGGACAGAUACUGACACUCAGAUGCGAAAGCGUGGGGAGCAAACAGGAUUAGAUACCCUGGUAG